rnacentral:lncRNA from 1 species
AGCCCGGAUGUAGGCGGAGCAGGAGCGAGGAACCCGCGCACUACGAAGUCCAAGGUUGUCUGCAUGAAACAUGGUCACGAUGCUGAGGAAACCUUUUGCUCCUGCUGAGUACUUACCACCUGCAUCUUCAGUCCUUGUGAGAACCACAUUGUUCCACUGGCAAUAAAUGGAGGGCCUCCCAGGCUGCGCUUCUCACCUCAUAAUGAGAAUUACCAGCAAGCCUGCAUGGAUUCAAAGUGAUGUGAGCCUGCUGCCCUUUUUAGUAAUUAAUGAUGAGAAAGGCAGAAGAGAUAUGGGCAGGGCCAAGGAAAUCAACAAGGGAUGAGGAAGCACCCAGAGAGCAGCGAUAAUGGAGAGUGCCCUGUGAUGAAAACUGGCAAUCCCAUGGAGCCACCACUAGGAGACCGAGUACCACCUGAGGACUGAAGCAUCUGGCCAGUUGUGGUACAUCAUCCCCCUCUCACUGGAACAUCCACAAGUAUUAUUAAGCCCACUUUACAGAUGAGGCAUGUUAAGGAAUUUACCCAAUACCUCACCUCUGGUAAUAUUUGGCUGAGGUUCUUUAUGAAGCCCUGAGGUUCAAAACAAAAACAGAAAGAAAGGCAUUGUUAAAGGAAGCGGCUUGAACUGGUCGACCAACUGAUGUUUGCAGCCAUGACCCUGGUAUCCCUUUCAGACGAGCAAGACAAACAGAUUGUCUUCCAGAAUAUUUCCUGAACAGCAACACCAGAGCUAUUUCCCACUUUGUGUGGCCAUGUAGCACUCAUAUCCUGGGAAGUCAGUAAUAUCCACACCCUUUCAAAUUGUGCAGGCUCUGGCUCUGGCCUCUUCCUACCAUUUUCUUUCCAGAAGCAAGUUGGUUGCCUUGGAGGGCUCUCCAGGGUGGGAAGUACUCUUCAGAGCCCCCAGUUGUCGUUUCUCCACCCCAGAUGUGGGGAGAGACCAGGACCUGAGAGCCACUCGGAAAUGCAUACUGUUUUUAUUGGUUUUGUUUUGGGUUUUUCCUUCUCAAAAACAAAAUACGGCAUAUGAGGGCAUGUCAGUGUCCUUCCAUGCCAGUCGCUAACCAGGACUCAGUAGUGAGGAAGCUUCUCCUGCUUCAUGCAUGCAGCGUUGAAGGAGCAAGUCAGAAGCACCCAGAAUGAGAGAACCUGCAUAAUGGAGCCGGAGUUUUCUCCCUUUCCUCCUCCUCUGGGUUAGCAGAUGCCAUUAGACAGUAGGUCUCACCCUGAGCUCAGGAGGCACAGCUCAGGAAGGUGCCCGCUAGAUCUUUAGAGGACGUUCUGGUCAGCUGGUAGAGCACUAGAAAGCUCUCCUGCUGGUACACUGCCCUCCCUCCAGUUCCCAGGCCUGAGGACCUGGAGCCCUCUUCCUCUAAGGGUUCUGGUCUUCCUUCUCCAUGUCCCUGCUCAGGGGCUCUCCCAGUCACUCUGUAUCAAAUUACACUCUCCCAGCACCCUCAUACUCCUUUAUGAAUUGGCCUUUGCCUUUUCGUGCAGUGCUGUCAUUCUCUUAACAUACCGUGUAAUUUGCUUAUUAUACCUUUGCUUUUAAAUCUGCCUCUCUCCAUUCGUGCCCACCCAGGGAU